CCUACGGGUGGCAGCAGUGGGGAAUAUUGGACAAUGGGGGGAACCCUGAUCCAGCGACGCCGCGUGAGUGAAGAAGUAUUUCGGUAUGUAAAGCUCUAUCAGCAGGGAAGAAAGAAAUGACGGUACCUGACUAAGAAGCACCGGCUAACUACGUGCCAGCAGCCGCGGUAAUACGUAGGGGGCAAGCGUUAGCCGGAUUUACUGGGUGUAAAGGGGGCGUAGACGGCGAUGCAAGUCUGAAGUGAAAGGCGGGGGCCCAACCUCCGGACUGCUUUGGAAACUGUAUGGCUGGAGUGCAGGAGAGGUAAGCGGAAUUCCUAGUGUAGCGGUGAAAUGCGUAGAUAUUAGGAGGAACACCAGUGGCGAAGGCGGCCUGCUGGGCUUUAACUGACGCUGAGGCUCGAAAGCGUGGGGAGCAAACAGGAUUAGAUACCCCUGUAGUC
rnacentral:rRNA from 1 species